AAUAGAUACCCUGGUAGUCCACGCCGUAAACGAUGAGUGCUAAGUGUUGGGGGGUUUCCGCCCCUCAGUGCUGCAGCUAACGCAUUAAGCACUCCGCCUGGGGAGUACGGUCGCAAGACUGAAACUCAAAGGAAUUGACGGGGGCCCGCACAAGCGGUGGAGCAUGUGGUUUAAUUCGAAGCAACGCGAAGAACCUUACCAGGUCUUGACAUCCCGGUGACCACUAUGGAGACAUAGUUUCCCCUUCGGGGGCAACGGUGACAGGUGGUGCAUGGUUGUCGCCAGCUCGUGUCGUGAGAUGUUGGGUUAAGUCCCGCAACGAGCGCAACCCUUAUUCUUAGUUGCCAUCAUUCAGUUGGGCACUCUAAGGAGACUGCCGGUGAUAAACCGGAGGAAGGUGGGGAUGACGUCAAAUCAUCAUGCCCCUUAUGACCUGGGCUACACACGUGCUACAAUGGACGGUACAAACGGUUGCCAACCCGCGAGGGGAGCUAAUCCGAUAAAACCGUUCUCAGUUCGGAUUGUAGGCUGCAACUCGCCUACAU
rnacentral:rRNA from 1 species